rnacentral:misc_RNA from 1 species
GAUUGUGCUCCUGAUAAGGAGGUACACUUCUUGCUAAAGAAUAAUUCUUUAACUUUCUAGUUGUUGUUUUUCUUGUAUUUAAUUUAAGCUUUUAUUUCUAUGCGAGUUUCUUCUUGCUAUUUGUUGUCUUUUCUCUUCAUUUAUUUAUUGGUUAAUAGUGUAAGGGUAAUUUCUUUAUUCUUGAAUUAAUGAAUAUGAAAGGAAAAGUUGGAAAUUGUAUGGAAUUUGGUACCCAAAACUUAUAUUUCUAUCUUAUUUUAUUUUAUACUUUAAAAUCUUAUAUUUUGUAUGCUUUUAUAACCAUGUUGAAAAUAUGGAAUAAGUAAUGAAUUUUUGUUAGUAAAUAUAGCAGUUGAUAUCUUGAAGGUGAUUGUGAAGAAUCAUAAGAAAAUGAUAUUCCACUUUGGUGAUGUUUCGGGUUUGUUUUCAUGGUGG